rnacentral:rRNA from 1 species
GACGAACGCUGGCGGCGUGCCUAAUACAUGCAAGUAGAACGCUGAAGGAGGAGCUUGCUUCUCUGGAUGAGUUGCGAACGGGUGAGUAACGCGUAGGUAACCUGCCUGGUAGCGGGGGAUACUAUUGGAAACGAUAGCUAAUACCGCAUAAUAGUAGAUGUUGCAUGACAUUUGCUUAAAAGGUGCAAUUGCAUCACUACCAGAUGGACCUGCGUUGUAUUAGCUAGUUGGUGGGGUAACGGCUCACCAAGGCGACGAUACAUAGCCGACCUGAGAGGGUGGUCGGCCACACUGGGACUGAGACACGGCCCAGACUCCUACGGGAGGCAGCAGUAGGGAAUCUUCGGCAAUGGACGGAAGUCUGACCGAGCAACGCCGCGUGAGUGAAGAAGGUUUUCGGAUCGUAAAGCUCUGUUGUAAGAGAAGAACGAGUGUGAGAGUGGAAAGUUCACACUGUGACGGUAUCUUACCAGAAAGGGACGGCUAACUACGUG